UAGAGAGAGUUCAAGAGUACGUGAAACUGCUUAGAGGUUAAGCCCGAUGAACCUGAAUAUCCAUUAUGGAAAAUUCAACAUUAAUAUUAUAAUAUUUAUUUAUAAAUAUUAUAAAAAUAGUGUGCAAUUUUUCCAUAUAAGGACAUUGUAAUCUGUUAAUGUUAUAAAUAUUUAUCAUAAGAUUCAGUAUAUAAAAGUUUAUUCAAAUUAGUUAUUUUCCGAUUUCUAACAUAGAAUAAAUUUAAUUGAAUUUGAUAAAUCAUUGACAGAUUUAUUUAUAUAUAGUGCUUAAAUUCUUAAUUGAAUUUUACAAUAAUUUAUAAAUGUAUUUUCAUUUAUUUAUUUAUUGUAUGCACUUAUAUGAUUAACAAUGCUAUAGAUUCAGGAUACCUUCGGGACCCGUCUUGAAACACGGACCC
rnacentral:rRNA from 1 species